GAUGAACGCUGGCGGCGUGCCUAAUACAUGCAAGUCGAGCGAACAGACGAGGAGCUUGCUCCUCUGACGUUAGCGGCGGACGGGUGAGUAACACGUGGAUAACCUACCUAUAAGACUGGGAUAACUUCGGGAAACCGGAGCUAAUACCGGAUAAUAUAUUGAACCGCAUGGUUCAAUAGUGAAAGACGGUUUUGCUGUCACUUAUAGAUGGAUCCGCGCCGCAUUAGCUAGUUGGUAAGGUAACGGCUUACCAAGGCAACGAUGCGUAGCCGACCUGAGAGGGGGAUCGGCCACACUGGAACUGAGACACGGCCCAGACUCCUACGGGAGGCCGCAGUAGGGAAUCUUCCGCAAUGGGCGAAAGCCUGCCGGAGCAACGCCGCGUGAGUGAUGAAGGUCUUCGGAUCGUAAAACUCUGUUAUUAGGGAAGAACAAAUGUGUAAGUAACUAUGCACGUCUUGACGGUACCUAAUCAGAAAGCCACGGCUAACUACGUG
rnacentral:rRNA from 1 species